UGGGGAAUAUUGGACAAUGGGGGCAACCCUGAUCCAGCCAUGCCGCGUGUGUGAAGAAGGUCUUCGGAUUGUAAAGCACUUUAAGUUGGGAGGAAGGGUUGUAGAUUAAUACUCUGCAAUUUUGACGUUACCGACAGAAUAAGCACCGGCUAACUCUGUGCCGGCAGCCGCGGUAAUACAGAGGGUGCAAGCGUUAAUCGGAAUUACUGGGCGUAAAGCGCGCGUAGGUGGUUUGUUAAGUUGGAUGUGAAAUCCCCGGGCUCAACCUGGGAACUGCAUUCAAAACUGACAAGCUAGAGUAUGGUAGAGGGUGGUGGAAUUUCCUGUGUAGCGGUGAAAUGCGUAGAUAUAGGAAGGAACACCAGUGGCGAAGGCGACCACCUGGACUGAUACUGACACUGAGGUGCGAAAGCGUGGGGAGCAAACAGGAUUAGAUACCCUAGUAGUCCCUGAGCGGGCUGGCAAGGCGCAU
rnacentral:rRNA from 1 species